rnacentral:tRNA from 31 species
GGGCCGUUAGCUCAGUUGGUAGAGCAGUUGACUUUUAAUCAAUUGGUCGCUGGUUCGAAUCCAGCACGGCCCACCA